rnacentral:rRNA from 1 species
CCUACGGGUGGCAGCAGUGAGGAAUAUUGGUCAAUGGACGAGAGUCUGAACCAGCCAAGUAGCGUGAAGGAUGACUGCCCUAUGGGUUGUAAACUUCUUUUAUAUGGGAAUAAAAUGUUCCACGUGUGGGAUUUUGUAUGUACCAUAUGAAUAAGGAUCGGCUAACUCCGUGCCAGCAGCCGCGGUAAUACGGAGGAUCCGAGCGUUAUCCGGAUUUAUUGUGUUUAAAGGGAGCGUAGGUGGAUUGUUAAGUCAGUUGUGAAAGUUUGCGGCUCAACCGUAAAAUUGCAGUUGAAACUGGCAGUCUUGAGUACAGUAGAGGUGGGCGGAAUGCGUGGUGUAGCGGUGAAAGGCUUAGAUAUCACGAAGAACUCCGAUGGCGAAGGCAGCUCACUGGACUGCAACUGACACUGAGGCUCGAAAGUGUGGGUAUCAAACAGGAUUAGAUACCCGUGUAGUC